UCUACUUGUCGUCUGUAGACAAACAGUUUGAGACAGAGAGAGAUUUGAGGGGAAUAUAUAUAAAUAGUUAUGGAGGUUAAAGUUGUGCCAUGCACUGUCAGACAUCUGGAGCCGGAUUAUUGUGACUCGACCCAUAUCUUUUGUUUUAUUCGUUACGUCUUAUUAGGACUGUUUAUUUCAAGUAAUAGUGACUAGAGGUCGUAAUUAAUAUAUCUAAAAUAAUUAUCUUGUUAUUAUUGAAAGUGUAUUUUAAGAAAUUCGGUCAGAUAAUUUGAAUAACAUGUAGAAUAUGGAUAAUUUGAAUAUAAUUAUUCAAAAUUUUAUUAGAUCGGGUAAAAGUUGGAUUGGGA